GGUCCGAUGGUGUAGUUGGUUAUCACUUCUGUCUAACAUCCGCAUGCGUCAUGUGAUGUUCACAGGCGGUCCUCAGUUCGAACCUGGGUCGGAUCA